CAGAGUAGGAAACCCUGCGUGAAGUGCUGUCAAGAUGGGGAGUUGUGUGGCAGACGAAGGAUCCAUGAUCCGCGAUAGGGUAUCCGCACCCGCUGC
rnacentral:ncRNA from 1 species